UUGGUCAAUAGACAUGGUAUUAAAAUAUUGCUCAAAUAUUGGCUUUACAUCUACAAAGUCGAAAUACUAUAUAAAAAAAGGAUGGUAAUAUUUUUUAAUUCAACUAGUUCCACUUGUUCCUUGCUCCCUUUAUAUAAAUCUAACUUUAUCGUUAUGAUAUCAUUGCAAAAAAUCUGAGAUUCUAGUCUCAAAAUAGCAACAUCUCAAUACGGUGGCCAUUUUUAAAAUGGCGUGUGUUCCACGACAAAACACUUUGAAAUUUAAAUGCAACGACUUCGACAACAUCCCGCGCGUGCCAGCUGAAUUACAAACAUUUACAAUAAGUGACCAAAGAGAAUGAAUAUCGUGGAAUAGACACAAAGUUGUAACAAAAAAAUAUUCUGUAUAGUCUAUGAAGAAAAUCUUAUAUCUUAUUUAUCUGUAAAACAUUUUAUGUGUUAACUAAAAAAAUUUACUGCGAUAAUGCAGGAUAUUUUGGACACAUUAGAAAUUUUAUCCACAGAUAAAUAACUUAUAAAAAAAAUCCUUUAUACAGUUCAUGUCUAUAGGCGAUGGUUACCACUUUCCUGUUCACCAUUCUAAGUUGUAUAAAAAAAAAAUUGAAAAAUUACAUAAAAUAUUGUCAAGUAAUCUAAAAAUCUGUGUGGUCCCGGCAAACAACUUGCCACCACUUCCUUUCCCGUGGAUGUCGUAAGAGAAGGGAACUUAAUGGUCGUGGAAUAAGCAGUAGCGUCCCUAUUAAAACAUCAUCAAACCCAGUUGGGGUUUGUUGUUGCGUGGCGACUACUGGAAAAUCUUUCUUUCUUGGGGAGGCCUAUGUUCAGCAGUGGACAGUUACCAACUUAUAUGAUGACGAUGAUAAAUCUAUAAAUCAUGAUCCUGUCAGCAUCAACGCUUUUUGUAACUUAAAAAAAAAUCUGGGAGUAAAAAACAGCAUGUUACACGAAUCAGUUUCGGUUACGUAAAACUACAGUUAAACCAGCUAGUGAAAAUAAUGACGUGUUACGUACACGAACUAGUGUGACUAGUUUUAUGCCACUUACUGGUUCUUUCGAUUGCGUCACGACGAGGGUCAGCAGUGACGUGUGACUGGGCUUGUCAAACGCCAUAGUCAGCAUCUUUCGGCUGUGUAUAAUCCGUAUUGAGUAACUAUGGAAACAACAGAAAUACUCCUGUUGCAGAUUCAAUUUAAUAUGUGAGAACAAACUCUUUUUAUUAUUGCACGUACUGGCCACUUAUGCUUUUUUAUUAUAAAAAAAUAUAUAUAAUGCAUUCUGUCGAUUGUAUAUACUUUUUGUCUGAUGGCUUUCGCCAAAGUCAUAAUAAAUGAAAAAAAAAAUGUCUAUUGUAUUCAAAUUAAAAAAAAAGGAAACUUAAAAAUAUAAUACUCAUUUUAUUUUUCUCGUCGUUCUAAUAAAUAUUUAAUAGUUUAGCCGCAUUUGCAUCGCAAUUAUUAUAAUUUUCAACAACUCCUCGGGUUGACCACUAGAUGGAGUUGUUAUUUUAGUAUAUGUGUGUGCUACAACGCGAUAUUAAGAUUUUCUAACACGUGUAUAAAAGCUCAGGAAUAUAUUUAAUGGAAUGAUAAAAGUCAUGUGUACAAUCCAAGGUUGUAGUUAUUUAUUGAAAUAUAAAUUAAAAAGGUACCUAUAUUUUUGGAUUGGAGACUGUUACCUGUUCUCUAGUAUGGACUAACUAGACAUAGACAUAUCAUUUUAUUGAUGAAAAUACACUUAUUUAUUUAUUUAUUUAAACUUCAUUGACCAAUAUGUUUUUCUUAAGAUAGUCGCCUGAUCCAUUUAUGCAUUGAUUCAUGUAAUAUAAAUAUAUCUUUUACUAAAAUAUAAAUAAAUUCAUUUUUUUUAAACCGCCAUUGAGUAUCUCUGCACAACCUUUCAUAUUUUGUACCAUAUUUUCUUUUGAUCAAUACAGUUAUUUAAAUAAAUAAAAAAAUAAUAUAAAUGUGAAAUUGAAAUGAGUCCGUUUGUUUAUUUGUAAUCUAUUCGCGUUUUAACGGCUCAAUCAAACAUCGUCAAAUCCCAAACAAUAAACACAAUCCUGGUCACGCGGGCAAAGUCGUGGGUAAAUGCUAGCUAGCACAAUAUAAACUAAUAGACAUAUUAAAUAACAAUUUAUAAACAAAAUUCACACGGCCACAAUAUGUAUCACAGUUUUUAAAAGGUUUUAUUUUUUAAUUUAUUCCUAGAUCUGCGGUGUGUUCACAUACAGCCCAAAAGCGCGCCAAACCAUUUUACCCGUGAAACGCUUUCAUUUUAUACAAAAACACUCAGAAUUACGAGCAUUGUGACUGAAAUAGGCACAAGUAGGUCACAUUUUGUCUAAAAGGUUUCCUUUUCACAAGGAUGUGACACGAUAUAAUCUACUUACAUCAAUACAUAACCUGUGAACUGAUGUGACGUGUGUGUGUUUCUUUUGAACAAUAAACCUCGUUGGCACAAUGCGCAGCUGUCACAAUAACGUGAUAAUGUUGUAUGAGACUCAUACAUUUGCAUGUACCCGGAACUAGUGAGCACGAGCUGUGUGUGUGAAGACAUAUGUGGAACGAUGGCGGCGCGCCGUCACAGAAGCCGAUCUGAUAAAAACUGCUCUCAAUAGUUUAUUGGUGUUUACACGUCAAGUUGUCGAUAAUCUAUUUUUUUAUAACUACUUGCCAUAUUUUUUUUUUUUUAUUAUUUACUUAAACUUUUAUUGAAGUUACCACAUGAAAAUAUAGUUAUGAACAUUUUUAA